ACCGACUUGCACCGCCGCCGGAAGAGCUAGGUCCGCACAUGCGCAGCGCUCCAGGACAGCUGGAACAGGGUGACCCUGAGUGCUUAGACCCUGCAGCGAUGCUGAGCAAGUUUCUGGGCCCACGCUAUCGGGAACUGGCCAAGAACUGGAUCCCCACUGCCAGCAUGUGGGGUGCCAUGGGUGCUGUGGGGCUGGUGUGGGCCACAGACUGGCGUUUGAUCCUGGACUGGGUACCUUACAUCAACGGCAAGUUUAAGAAGGAUGAUUAGGAAAACCCCGUCAUACUCAGGAUCUCCCUGGGUUUGGAGCCUGUCCUGGCACCUGCUCUGACUACUUCAUUUUUUGCAAGGCUCACACCUGCUGUCUUAGGAACAGUUCAGUCUCGUGAAGGAUGCUGAGGAAGCUGGACAUGGCCAAGUCCCGCAGCUCCCGGGGAGCCUCUGCGCAGAUGGACACUUGGGCUGCCUUGAUGGGUGUACAUUAAACCUUGUUCUCACA